CAAUUCAUUUUGGCCAAGGGUGUCACACAUGCAGACUGUUUUGCUGAGAUCUCGCUCUCUUCAUUCAGAGGUAUAACACACUUGCUGAUUAAAAAUGGUGGAGGGGUGACACCCAUAACGACUCACCGCAACCAUCUCUCUCUGAUCCCUGUGCCCUGGAGCUCGCCAAAAUAACAACCCAGAGGCGGAUGAGUGUAGCCAGAGUGUAAUACAGAACCAACAACAUGAUGGGAUUGACAAAGUGGUGCCACUCCAGAUCAGGAUUCACUUUGAACAACCAGACAACACUGUAAUCUCAUUGGUCACAGUAAGGGGAUCCGGCUGGAUUCUGUCUGUGCCCAUGUGCUGGCGGAUCACGCUGGAUUGGUUUAAGCUUGUGGUUGGGAUGUAAAGCUUUUAUGUGCAAAAUGAGCAGCAGCAUAAAUCAUGGCAUUAACCUGGCUCAACGUCUGCUUGGCAUGAAACAAAGUUCUACAUACUCAAACAAAUCCAAAUAAAUUAAGCAUUGGUGCCCAGUGAAAUGUCCAUGACAAGAUGUUUUUUUUAAUCUAAAAAUCGUGAGAAAAAAUGCAAAUAAUUAUAUAUGUACAGUGGCAAGAAAAAGUAUGUGAACCCUUUGGAAUUAGCUGUUUUUCUGCAUUAUUUGGUCAUAAAAUGUGAUCUCAUCUUCAUCAGAGUCACAAGUAUAGACAAACAACAAUGUGCUUAAGCUAACAACACACAAACAAUUCUAAUAUUUCAUGUCUUUAUUGAACACAUCUCAUUAAACAUUCACAGUGCUGUGGAAAAAGUAAGUGAACCCUUGGAUUUAAUAACUGGUCAAUCCUCCUUUGGCAGCAACAACCUCAACCAAGUAUUUCUGGUAGCUGCGGAUUAGACCUGCACAAAGUUCAGAAGGAAUUUUGGACCAUUCUUCCUUACAGAACUACUUCA